rnacentral:rRNA from 1 species
UAAUACGGAGGGGGCGAGCGUUGUCCGAAUUUAUUGGGCGUAAAGCGCGUGUAGGCGGAUCGCCAAGCCUGGGGUGAAAGGUUGGGGCUCAACCCCAAGAGUGCCCUGGGGACUGGCGGUCUGGAGGCAGGCAGAGGAGUGUGGAAUUCCUGGUGUAGCGGUGGAAUGCGUAGAUAUCAGGAAGAACACCCAUGGCGAAGGCAGCACUCUGGGCCUGUACUGACGCUGAGACGCGAAAGCGUGGGUAGCGAACGGG